UGGGGAAUAUUGGACAAUGGGCGAAAGCCUGAUCCAGCAAUGCCGCGUGAGUGAUGAAGGCCUUAGGGUUGUAAAGCUCUUUUACCCGAGAUGAUAAUGACAGUAUCGGGAGAAUAAGCUCCGGCUAACUCCGUGCCAGCAGCCGCGGUAAUACGGAGGGAGCUAGCGUUGUUCGGAAUUACUGGGCGUAAAGCGCACGUAGGCGGCGAUCUAAGUCAGAGGUGAAAGCCCGGGGCUCAACCCCGGAAUUGCCUUUGAGACUGGAUUGCUUGAAUCCGGGAGAGGUGAGUGGAAUUCCGAGUGUAGAGGUGAAAUUCGUAGAUAUUCGGAAGAACACCAGUGGCGAAGGCGGCUCACUGGACCGGCAUUGACGCUGAGGUGCGAAAGCGUGGGGAGCAAAACAGGAUUAGAUACCCCUGGUAGUCCACGCCGUAAACGAUGAUAACUAGCUGUCUGGGUGCAUGGCACUUAGGUGGCGCAGCUAACGCAUUAAGUUAUCCGCCUGGGGAGUACGGUCGCAAGAUUA
rnacentral:rRNA from 1 species